UUGUCUCUCUCUUUUUCAUGAUUUAUGACUCAGAAGCAAGACAGGGGCAGGAGGUUGGAGGGUAAUGCUUGCGGCUGUGGUUGCUGUUAUUUUUAUUUUGUAUUUUUCUUAAAGAAAAUAAAAGAAAUAUGCUUUUCUGAAAAAUCUUGAAGCCUUGAAGCCACCUGCAGGGCUGUUGUUUUCCAAGGCCUUGCACUUACGUAAUUGACAUCUACAUAGACACACUCCUGGAACAUAUCGGGGGAGGCAGGCAUUCUGCUUGUUCUCAUUUGUUCUCAAAUUACAUGAUAAAAUACAUGUUUUGGACCUUUUAAACCAAAGGGAGUUAUUGAGCCCGCUUACAAAAUCCAUAACAUGUUAGCAGGACUUAUCUAGCUGCCUCCACAGAAUAGCCAAGCAACUCUACACCCGCUUUAGCCCCCACAAAAACAAGCGGAUUGCACUACAAAUAAUUUGCCUAUUUGGAAAAUGAAAGCUUCUCUGUAGUUUGAGGUCCUAUUUUUUCUUUAAGUUGUUACAGUCUUUUCAUGGUCCUUGAGGUCUAGGUUAGGUUUUUGUUUGGGGUAAUUUUUGUAUCCUAUGGAUACUAUUUAAUCUUUAGUAUUGAGUCAGUAUUUCUCACUUAGGCCUUAGGGGAAUACUGCCUGAAGUAUGUAGGGGGCAUGCGGAAUUCAGACGUGGCUUGGAAACUGCACCAUGGGUUCACCCAAGAAACAGACCAGAGGCAACACAUUCUAUCACUAAAACGUGUUCUCAGUUACACUUCCCUUCCAAAGGAUUAUUUGUGCCCAUGAGGGAAACACGAAGGAUUGUCAGUAUUCAUUUGCUAUCAGAACUGCCUUUGAACUUCAGGGAAGCCGCCAUCUUGUUUUAGUUCACUCCUCUAAAGCACAGUGUCUGCAACAUGAAACACUAGUAAGACACAGUUAUCCAGAAAGAGCCCUAGAGAUGGAUAAGGAACCUGUUGGAAUGCUCUGAUAUUAAGAAAAAAAAAAUUAAAUUCAAAACCAAAAACAAGUCACAAGGGAGUUUUAUGCCUAUGUAAUCAGUGCAGACAGCCGUUAAGUAAAUGAAGAGGCAACUAACAAUGUCAGAAAAGAGACCGGGCGGUUCCGGCUGACACUACCCUAAUCUUCCAGGACCCAUUAAAUGGUAGUUUCAACGCAUUACCUACCAUAACAUCCUUGAAUAUCACUGAUUUUAUUUGCAGUAUCAAACAUUCCAUUUCAUGCCCCAUUAACAGUGGGAGCCUGGGCUUUUUGACGCAGCUAAACAUUUUACUAACUACCUGGACUAAGUAACCAAUUAACUUUUGGAGACAAUACGGCCAAUUAAGCGCGAAAAGAAAAUUUGGAAAACAGGCUUUUCCUAUCCGGAUGAACAGAGAUAAUUUGUGUCGAUGGAUGUUCUGUGAAGGCCUAUUGUGUCGAGCAGCGUAUUAAAACAUAAACAUGGCUCUUCCCCCAAGAAACUUACAUUUCAGUAAGGGAGCCUGGCCAAAAUGGAAAACUGCAAGGUUCAAAUCCUGGAGUGCAGAAGAAGCAUUAGGCAUUGACCCUGUGGCUUCCUAAUAGAUCCGCAAAGUGCUUUGUUCCUGGAAAUCAUCCGAUGAGUAGUUCAGUGCUAUUGUAUAUCUUGUUAGAGCAGCCGAAGUGCCACAAAAUGAACUAAAAUCUCCCUGCAGAGUUGCUGUAUCAUAUGCUGAGAACAUUCGGAACUUUCAACAAAUUCAUGUUACGAUCCUGGGUAGCCAUGGUUAAAUCUGUACAGGGGUUAAAUGAGAAAUAUGAGCCUGCUGUUAAGUGUCUUCUGAGAGUGACAAAGCUCUGGCCAUAAGGGAUGGGAGAGGAGGGAUUUCUUCUCAGCCUUCCAGCCCUUUCCAGCUGUAUCACAGACAGGAGACAUAAUGCAAAGGGGCUCAGACAUUGACUUCCUGGAUCUUUGCGGCCCCAGGCAUUGACCCCCUCUACCUGGCUUUUCCUACGCUGUAAAAUGAGGAUCCUCCUAUAUUAUGGAGUUUAUUGUGACAACUAAAUAGCUGAGAAGAAGGACAUCUCAUUUGUUUUAACUAUGCAGUUUCCUGUCUAUCUAUCUAUCUAUCCCAUCAAUCUAUCAAUCAAUCUAUCAAUCUGUCUAUCCCUAUCUAUCUAUCCAUCUAUCUAUCUAUAUCUGUCUAUAUCUAUCUAACAUUUAUCUAUCAUCUAUUCAUCUAUCAGCUAUCUUCUGUCUAUCAAUAUUUCAAUCAAUCUCUCUAUCCCUAUCAAUUAAUCUAUCUACCUACCUAUCAACUAUCCAUCUAUCUCUAUCAUCUAUCAUCUAUUCAUCUAUCAUUUAUCAUCUGUCAAUCCAUCUUCCUACUAUCUAUCAAAAGCAACACAUUUUCUUCCUGACUUUAAAAAUAUUUAAGUGGGCCGGGAGGAUGGCUCACGCCUGUAAUCCCAGCACUUUGGGAGGCCUAGGCGGGCGGAUCACGAGGUCAGGAGAUGGAGACCAUCCUGGCUAACAUGGUGAAACCCCGUCUCUACUAAAAAUACAAAAAAAAAAAAAAAUUAACCAGGCGUGGUGGAGGGCGCCUGUAGUCCCAGCUACUCGGGAGACUGAGGCAGGAGAAUGGGGAGAACCCGGGAGGCGGAGCUUGCAGUGAGCCGAGAUCAUGCCACUGCACUCCAGCCUGGGCGACAGAGCAAGACUCCAUCUCAAAAGAAACAAAAACAAAAACGUAAGUGAUACUCUGUCCACUCUUUUGAUUGAGGAGGUCUGAUUUUCAGGCUUUGGAUUUUAUUAUGUCUUCAAUAUAAUAAUUGUUCCAUGUAUCUCUCCUAAAUUGCCAUUUGAAAAACUGCUUUUCUGAAGUUUAAAGUGCACAUUUUGAUACAUCUUGACACAUAUAUACACCCAUGAAAUCAUCACCACAAUCAGGAUAGUAGAUCUAUCCAUUACCGCCAAGGUUUACUUGCACUCCUUUGAACUUUCUCCCCACUCCUCACCCCCUGCCUAUCCCCAAUCCUUAAGCAAUCACUGAUUUGCUUUCUGUCACUAUCAGUUAAUUUGAAUUUUUCAGAAAUGUAUAUAAAUAAAAUCAUUCGACGUGUAUGCUCUUUUUCUGUUCACCCGGUACAAUUUGAGAUUUAGCCAUGUUUUUGCAUGUGUCAAUAGUUUAUUUUUUUGUUGCUCAGUACUAAUCCAUUUUAUGGAUACAGAGAAAUGUAUUAAUGCAAUCCCAUAUUAAUAGGCAUUUGGGUUGUUUCCAGGUUUGGGCUGUUACAAAUAAAGCUGCUAUGAACAUUUUUGUGCAAGUCUUUUUAUGAGUAUAUUCCUUUAUUUCUUUUGGGUAAAUACCUAGAAGUGGGAUGGGUGUAUCACAUGGUACGUAAAUAUUUAAAUUUUUAAGAGAAUGCCAAACUGUUUUUCAAAGUAAUUGCACCAUUUUAUAUUCCCACCAGGAAUAUAUGAGAAUUCCAGUUCCUCUACAUACUCACAGACAUAUUGUAUGGUCAGU
rnacentral:lncRNA from 10 species